UUUAUCCUACGGGGGGCAGCAGUAGGGAAUAUUGCUCAAUGGGGGAAACCCUGAAGCAGCAACGCCGCGUGAAGGAAGAAGGCUUUCGGGUUGUAAACUUCUUUUAAGAGGGAAGAGCAGAAGACGGUACCUCUUGAAUAAGCCACGGCUAACUACGUGCCAGCAGCCGCGGUAAUACGUAGGUGGCAAGCGUUGUCCGGAUUUACUGGGUGUAAAGGGCGUGCAGCCGGGAAGACAAGUCAGAUGUGAAAUCCCGCGGCUCAACCGCGGAACUGCAUUUGAAACUGUUUUUCUUGAGUACCGGA
rnacentral:rRNA from 1 species